GUUACUAUGCUUUUCCCUUAAAAUAGUAAAUUCAAGUUUAGUUCGAUUAUAAUAUAAAUGAACUAUAUUAUAGCUGUCAACAACUCGUAUAGAGACCAUCAAGGGUUUAAAAGAAUCAUUUUGUAUUAAAGAAGUAAGAAGAAUUAAUUAUUGAUUCAAACUUCUGUGAAACAAUUGGCCAAUAAUUUUCGUUUACCAUUAAUAAUUCAGUUUUUCAUCGUCAUCACUUUAAAAAAAGGCUGAACUUCAAGCAUGAGGUUAAAAUAGGUCAAACGAAGAAAUUUCAACUAAGGUCAAUAAGAAAAAUCACUAAGCACUUCUUAGAAGUGUUUAAAGUUUGUCAGCCUUUAAAAAUUAUAAAAAAAUGACAUUAAUGAUAAAUAAAUGUUUUUAUUAACAA